rnacentral:rRNA from 1 species
ACGUAGGUGGCAAGCGUUGUCCGGAUUUACUGGGUGUAAAGGGCGUGCAGCCGGAGAGACAAGUCAGAUGUGAAAUCCGCGGGCUUAACCCGCGAACUGCAUUUGAAACUGUUUCCCUUGAGUAUCGGAGAGGUAAUCGGAAUUCCUAGUGUAGCGGUGAAAUGCGUAGAUAUUAGGAAGAACACCAGUGGCGAAGGCGGAUUACUGGACGACAACUGACGGUGAGGCGCGAAAGCGUGGGGAGCAAACAG